rnacentral:lncRNA from 1 species
UGAUCGAUAACACACUUCGGUUUUUUAAUAAUUUUUUGUGUGCGAUGAUGACGUUUCGUCUCAACCAAUUCUUCAUUGUGGAAAGAGGACAACAUAUAUAUUGCCCUCUUGUUACACCAUCUUAUUGUUAAUAAAAGGCUUGAGAAUGUACAAUACUCGUCAAUAGGCGGCAUCUUACGCAGAGCAACUGUAGUCGCCCGUAGUAGCGAAAAGGUUAAAGCUUCUCGAAUAGUCUGUCUUGGGUCGAUACGGGCAAUGGUCUAAGAAGAUAGUGGAAAACUGACACUCGAAGUCGUUACUCGAGUGUUGUUCUAUUUGUGUACCAAUUUCUGUACCAAUCUAUCGUAUUACAAAGGAAAGAAUCAGGCAAAAUGAAAACGCAUUCUGUUGGAUAUGAAAUAAUUAUAUUACUUGCGAAAAUAAGUUGUCGAUCAAUUCAUUGAUAUGAAGUUAAAUAAAGCCAAUUGGAUACGAAAGAUGGGAAAGAAAAUAGGAUCAAUAUAAGAUCUGGAAAGAAGUAAUAAACUACCAGGUAUAAAAUACUCAUUUUCAGAAAUACUAUGAUACUUGUUACACGAACUGUAGUGUGUAGUGUUUUGUAAACGCCUCAAUAUCAGCUGCAAGCAUAUGUUAUAAAAAAACAGGUUCAUAUUUAAAAUUGUUUGUGUUAAUAUGACCUUCACAGGACCGUUUCAACGUCGUUGCAAGGUCAAAUAGACAAAGGUAUAGUAUGCCACUUUCGAUAUCAUACCUAAACUUUAUAUCUGAAACAUUUCAUUCAUUUCGGAAUGUUUCAGUAUUUCGAGUUAAAUCAGUCAUACUGCACAAGUUUGAAUUAAUUAUUAACAUAAUAUUUAUAUCUU